AGGGCAAUGAUGAGUGGCGCAGGGGUACGGACCUCAGCUGAUGAUGGGAGCUGAGUGUUUGGUGUCUGAUCUCAGAUCAGUGGGCAUGUGGCUAGCUGUCUGAGAGACACCAACACGACACAGUCGCCUUGUCUGAGCCCA